rnacentral:lncRNA from 1 species
GAGCAGGCCCUCUUACCCAAAAAUGCCCGAGUAGCCCCUUCAGCCCGGAAGUAUCCAAGCAGCCUUACUGACCUAAAGACGCCUAACCCACGCGCUGCGGUCACAUCCCCUCGCAACGCGACCAAGAAACUACGCCUUGCCUCUGUCAACAAUUAAUAAGUAUGGCACUCACAGGCAUUCAGCUUACUCAACAAUCAAUGCGCAUGGCCCUUACAGGCAUUUAGCUUACUCAACAAUUAAAGCGUAUGGCCUCUGCUGUCUACGGACACCAAGCCCUAAAUGGCAAACCUGCUCGGCUACGAAAGAUGGCAUGGCUCCGGCCUGAUCUCCAAUAACUGCGGUGAUUUACACGAUCCAGCAUUAAUGCCUGUUGUAUGUCC